rnacentral:tRNA from 1 species
UCCGCAGUAGCUCAGUGGUAGAGCAAUCGGCUGUUAACCGAUAGGUCGUAGGUUCGAGUCCUACCUGCGGAGCCA